rnacentral:rRNA from 1 species
CCUACGGGAGGCUGCAGUGAGGAAUAUUGGUCAAUGGGCGCGAGCCUGAACCAGCCAAGCAGCGUGAAGGAUGACUGUCCUACGCGUUGUAAACUUCUUUUAUCAAGGAAUAAAGUCAGGCUCGAGAGCCUUUUCGAAGGUACUUUAUGAAUAAGCAUCGGCUAACUCCGUGCCAGCAGCCGCGGUAAUACGGAGGAUCCGAGCGUUAUCCGGAUUUAUUGGGUUUAAAGGGUGCGUAGAGGGGUUGUUAAGUCAGGUGUGAAAGGUUGCGGCUCAACCGUAAAAUUGCAAUUGAUACUGGCAGUCUUGAGAUCAGGUGAGGUAGGCGGAAUGCGUAGUGUAGCGGUGAAAUGCUUAGAUAUCGCGAAGAACUCCGAUUGCGAAGGCAGCAUACU